UACAGAGGUCCCAAGCGUUGUUCGGAUUCACUGGGCGUAAAGGGUGCGCAGGUGGUCGGGUAAGUCUGAUGUGAAAUCUCCGAGCCUAACUCGGAAACUGCGUCGGAUACUAUUCAACUCGAGGAAUGGAGGGGAGACUGGAAUUCUCGGUGUAGCAGUGAAAUGCGUAGAUAUCUGGAGGAACACCGGUGGCGAAGGCGGCAUCCUGGACCGGCAUUGACGCUGAGGCGCGAAAGCCAGGGGAGCAAACGGG
rnacentral:rRNA from 1 species